rnacentral:rRNA from 1 species
UCGAGGGGCAGCAUUUUAGUUUGCUUGCAAACUAAAGAUGGCGACCGGCGCACGGGUGAGCUAACACGNUAUCCAACCUGCCGAUAACUCGGGGAUAGCCUUUCGAAAGAAAGAUUAAUAUCCGAUAGUAUAUUAAAACCGCAUGGUUUUACUAUUAAAGAAUUUCGGUUAUCGAUGGGGAUGCGUUCCAUUAGUUUGUUGGCGGGGUAACGGCCCACCAAGACUACGAUGGAUAGGGGUUCUGAGAGGAAGGUCCCCCACAUUGGAACUGAGACACGGUCCAAACUCNUACGGGAGGCAGCAGUGAGGAAUAUUGGUCAAUGGACGAGAGUCUGAACCAGCCAAGUAGCGUGAAGGAUGACUGCCCUAUGGGUUGUAAACUUCUUUUAUAUGGGAAAUAAAAGUAUUCCACGUGUGGGNAUUUUGUAUGUACCAUAUGAAUAAGGANUCGGCUAACUCCGUGCCAGCAGCCGCGGUAAUACGGAGGAUCCGAGCGUUAUCCGGAUUUAUUGGGUUUAAAAGGGAGCGUAGGUGGAUUGUUAAGUCAGUUGUGAAAAGUUUGCGGCUCAACCGUAAAAUUGCAGUUGAAACUGGCAGUCUUGAGUACAGUAGAGGUGGGCGGAAUUCGUGGUGUAGCGGUGAAAUGCUUAGAUAUCACGAAGAACUCCGAUUGCGAAGGCAGCUCACUAGACUGCAACUGACACUGAUGCUCGAAAGUGUGGGUAUCAAACAGGAUUAGAUACCCUGGUAGUCCACACAGUAAACGAUGAAUACUCGCUGUUUGCGAUAUACAGUAAGCGGCCAAGCGAAAGCAUUAAGUAUUCCACCUGGGGGAGUACGCCGGCAACGGUGAAACUCAAAGGAAUUGACGGGGGCCCGCACAAGCGGAGGAACAUGUGGUUUAAUUCGAUGAUACGCGAGGAACCUUACCCNGGGCUUAAAUUGCAUUUGAAUAAUCUGGAAACAGGUUAGCCGCCAAGGCAAAUGUGAAAGGUGCUGCAUGGUUGUCGUCAGCUCGUGCCGGGAGGUGUCGGCUUAAGUGCCAUAACGAGCGCAACCCUUAUCUUUAGUUACUAACAGGUCAUGCUGAGGACUCUAGAGAGACUGCCGUCGUAAGAUGUGAGGAAGGUGGGGAUGACGUCAAAUCAGCACGGCCCUUACGUCCGGGGCUACACACGUGUUACAAUGGGGGGUACAGAAGGCAGCUACCUGGCGACAGGAUGCUAAUCCCAAAAACCUCUCUCAGUUCGGAUCGAAGUCUGCAACCCGACUUCGUGAAGCUGGAUUCGCUAGUAAUCGCGCAUCAGCCAUGGCGCGGUGAAUACGUUCCCGGGCCUUGUACACACCGCCCGUCAAGCCAUGAAAGCCGGGGGUACCUGAAGUACGAACCGCAAGAGCUCCUAGG